rnacentral:lncRNA from 1 species
CCAGGCUCUUGCUGGACAAAGAGACAAACCACACCGAAGUGCUAGAGGAAGUGUAUGAGAACCAGAUCCGGCAACCUGGGCGUCGAUGGAGACCGGCCCCAGUCCCCUAUAGCAAUGCUAGUGGUUCCCCUGCCCCUCCAAAGGAAGAGAUUUUGUGCCCCCAAGGCUGGCUCUUUGUGGAAGACUGGAAAGUGGAGGAGAAUCGUGCUGUGGACGAUGCUGGCAAGUUUUCCAUUUGUGUUUGUCUUGGCCCUGGGGCCACUCCUGAGAACAAUGACUGCAUAUCUUCUGGGGUCGUUGCCUGGAGCCUCAUGAGAAUACAUUUCCUCCCUUAGGUUGGGAGUAUGGCGUUGCUCUCCCGCCCGCUGAGUUCCCCCGUUCUUGGAAUGCAGCCGAGAAGACCUACCACACCCACCGCCGGCGGCGCUGGCUCAGGAAACGCUGCCGGAACCUGGCCAGCGAGAACCAAGAAGGAAAAAUGGCCGCCUUCCUUCGGCUGCACUCAGAGUUAAGGCUGAAAGAAGAGACUUGGGAAUAUGCUCCACUCCAUGGCUGGAGGUUCCACCUGCAGCGGCAUCCCAGCGACAUCUUUCGCCGGCGAUGCUGGCACAGGAAGCUCAUCCCGAUGUCGCCCAGCGGUGUGACCUCCAUUUUUCUCUUGGAGGGUUCACUGGUAAGAAAAGACAGGUGCCUUCUGCCUCAGCUGUGGCACAGCUGGCAAGUGAUUCAUUCAGAGGACAUGAAGCCAGUCUUUUGGCUUUCAAAGGACUCGUCCACAUAAUUUCUAGGCACAGGUUCAUGAUGUGUGGGUUAGGGUCUGAGCGGGGGGUUUUUUUUGUCCUACCGCUUUCUCCAGGGAUACAUGCUAUUUACAGCUGAAUUGGACCAAAUGUCAAACGGGUUUUCCACGGACUGACAUUUGUU